UAGUUAAAUAAAGGUAUAAUUUUUUUAUUUUAUUUUUUAAAUCGGCAAAUCGGCGCCCAAAAAUACCGAUUUUCAUAACAAUCUGAAACUUGAAAUCGUCCCUAAUUAAUCGGUCGACCUCUAAUUUCUAGGCCUACUAGUAAAUCUUCUUUGUCAUUCUAAGCCUCUGUCAUUUGCAACAUUUUUUAUUAUCUUGAUGUCAAUUUAAUUUGAAUCUGAAAUGGCCAUCACUGACAUAUUUUAGUUGAUUAUUAUUUAUUAUCAGAAUGAACUAAUGGGAACCGGUACUUCCAGCCACGUAGGCUAAUACUGCCUUAUAGUUUAAAUAGAGGGGAAUGUUUCGGCAGUCUGAUUCAGCCUUUUGAUGAUCUACUUGUCACAUUUCCUGUCUGCUGUGUAGGUCAUUUAUUGAAAUGAUUUAUAAUGUCCAUGAUGUGAAGUAUUGGCUUUGUGAUUCAGACAAAUCUAUGGUUGAAAUGCUGCGGGUACUUCUUGACUAUCAGUACAAUGAUAUGAGAGUACGUCUGUAGCUCUGAAUCUCUGGGAAUAACAGCCUUUAUAUCAGCCAGCCUUGGGCUCAGUUCCAUUUCAAUUCAGGAACUAAAACUGAUAUUGACAUUUAUUCUCAAAGCUUUUUAAUGAGGAACAAUGUAAUUGGAGUUUCAGUUUCCUACCUGAAUUUAAAUGAAACUGACCCCCAACGCUGUAUAUCAGUAUUUAACUAUUGACUACCAUUAACUUCUCUGUAUUCAUUGUACAUAAUGUAAAAUGGAGAUGGUCUCUUUCUUUGUACAAUUCAUUAUCCUGGAGCUGACAAAACACGCAGGUUUGUAAUCCCAAAUAACACCCUAUUACCUACAUAGUGCACUACUUUUGACCAAAGCCCUAUUUGACCCUGGUCCAAUGUAGUGCACUAUAUAACGUAUAGAUUACUGGAUGUACUUAUGAUAACUCAGAUCAUUUUAACGUGAGAAAUUCCAUAAAUAUUUUUAACAAUCA